rnacentral:rRNA from 1 species
CAGCAGCCGCGGGAAUACGUAGGGUGCGAGCGUUAAUCGGAAUUACUGGGCGUAAAGCGUGCGCAGGCGGUUGUGUAAGACAGGUGUGAAAUCCCCGGGCUUAACCUGGGAACUGCGCUUGUGACUGCACAGCUAGAGUAUGGCAGAGGGGGGUGGAAUUCCACGUGUAGCAGUGAAAUGCGUAGAGAUGUGGAGGAACACCGGUGGCGAGGGCGACUCCCUGGUCUGUAACUGACGCUGAGGAGCGAAAGCGUGGGGAGCAAACAGGAUUAGAUACCCCUGUAGUCCCUGUCUCUUAUAC